rnacentral:rRNA from 1 species
AGCUCCAAUAGCGUAUAUUAAAGUUGUUGCGGUUAAAAAGCUCGUAGUUGGAUUUCUGUUGAGGAUGGACGGUCCGCACUAAGUGCGUGUAUCUGUUGCAGCCUCGGCAUCCUCUUGGAGAACGGCGCUGUGAUUCAUUUCAUGGUCCGGAAUUCAAGACUUUUACUUUGAGGAAAUUAGAGUGUUCACGGCAAGCAAUCGCUUUGAAUACAUUAGCAUGGAAUAAUAAUAUAGGACCUUGGUACUAUUUUGUUGGUUUCUAGAACUGAGGUAAUGAUAAAUAGGAACAGUUGGGGGGCAUUCGUAUUAAGACGUCAGAGGUGGAAUUCUUGGAUUGUCUUACGACGAACUACUGCGAAAGCAUUUGCCAAGGAUGUUUUCAUUGAUCAAGAACGAAAAGACACG